UCGAACGGUGAAGCCCAGCUUGCUGGGUGGAUCAGUGGCGAACGGGUGAGUAACACGUGAGCAACCUGCCCUCCACUUCGGGAUAAGCCUUGGAAACGGGGUCUAAUACCGGAUAUGAGCUCGCAUCGCAUGGUGUGGGUUGGAAAGUUUUUCGGUGGGGGAUGGGCUCGCGGCCUAUCAGCUUGUUGGUGGGGUGAUGGCCUACCAAGGCGUCGACGGGUAGCCGGCCUGAGAGGGCGACCGGCCACACUGGGACUGAGACACGGCCCAGACUCCUACGGGAGGCAGCAGUGGGGAAUAUUGCACAAUGGGCGCAAGCCUGAUGCAGCGACGCCGCGUGAGGGAUGACGGCCUUCGGGUUGUAAACCUCUUUCAGCAGGGAAGAAGCGCAAGUGACGGUACCUGCAGAAGAAGCGCCGGCUAACUACGUGCCAGCAGCCGCGGUAAUACGUAGGGCGCAAGCGUUGUCCGGAAUUAUUGGGCGUAAAGAGCUCGUAGGCGGUCUGUCGCGUCUGGUGUGAAAUCCCGAGGCUCAACCUCGGGCUUGCAUCGGGUACGGGCAGACUAGAGUGCGGUAGGGGAGACUGGAAUUCCUGGUGUAGCGGUGGAAUGCGCAGAUAUCAGGAGGAACACCGAUGGCGAAGGCAGGUCUCUGGGCCGCAACUGACGCUGAGGAGCGAAAGCAUGGGGAGCGAACAGGAUUAGAUACCCUGGUAGUCCAUGCCGUAAACGUUGGGCACUAGGUGUGGGGCUCAUUCCACGAGUUCCGUGCCGCAGCUAACGCAUUAAGUGCCCCGCCUGGGGAGUACGGCCGCAAGGCUAAAACUCAAAGGAAUUGACGGGGGCCCGCACAAGCGGCGGAGCAUGCGGAUUAAUUCGAUGCAACGCGAAGAACCUUACCAAGGCUUGACAUGUACGAGAAAGCCCCCGAGACGGGGUUCUCUUUGGACACUCGUACACAGGUGGUGCAUGGUUGUCGUCAGCUCGUGUCGUGAGAUGUUGGGUUAAGUCCCGCAACGAGCGCAACCCUCGUCCUAUGUUGCCAGCGGGUUAUGCCGGGGACUCAUGGGAGACUGCCGGGGUCAACUCGGAGGAAGGUGGGGAUGACGUCAAAUCAUCAUGCCCCUUAUGUCUUGGGCUUCACGCAUGCUACAAUGGCCGGUACAGAGGGCUGCGAUACCGUAAGGUGGAGCGAAUCCCAAAAAGCCGGUCUCAGUUCGGAUUGGGGUCUGCAACUCGACCCCAUGAAGUCGGAGU
rnacentral:rRNA from 1 species